AUGUUGGAGAUGCGGCGGACGGCUCAGUAAUACGUAGUCAAUCUACCCUUGGGACAGAGAUAACCCCUGGGAAACUGAGGCUAAUACCUGAUAUGUGAAAGCGCCUGGAAUGGUCUUUCGCAGAAAGGGCAUCAAAUACAUGCGUUUGAUGUUGCCCAAGGAUGGGACUGCGGCCGAUCAGGUAGUUGGUAAGGUAACGGCUUACCAAGCCUAUAACCGGUACGGGCCCUGAGAGGGGUAGCCCGGAGAUGGGAACUGAGAUAAGGUCCUAGGCCCUACGGGGCGCAGCAGUCGCGAAAACUUUGCAAUACACGAAAGUGUGACAGGGCUAUCCCGAGUGCCAUCCGCUGAGGAAGGCUUUUACCCAGUAUAUAAAGCUGGGAGAAUAAGGAGAGGGCAAGCCUGGUGUCAGCCGCCGCGGUAAUACCAGCUCUCCGAGUGGUGUGGAUGUUUAUUGGGCCUAAAGCAUCCGUAGCUGGCCAAGUUAGUCCCCUCGUUAAUCCACCGAA
rnacentral:rRNA from 1 species